rnacentral:sRNA from 1 species
GCCGGGUGUGGUGGCUCACACCUGUAAUCCCAGCACCUGGGAGGCUGAGGUGGGUGGAUCACUUGAGGUCAGGAGUUGGAGACCAGCCUGGCCAAUAUGGCGAAACCCUGUCUCUACUAAAAAUACAAAAAUUAGACGGGCAUGGUGGCACGUGCCUGUAAUCGUAGCUACUCGGGAGGCUGAGGCAGGAGAAUCACUUGAACCUGGGAGGCAGAGGUUGCAGUGAGCCAAGAUCAUGCCACUGCGCUCCAGCCUGGGCAACAGAGUGAGACUCUGUCUCA